UACGGGGGGGGCAAGCGUUGUUCGGAAUUACUGGGCGUAAAGGGCUCGUAGGCGGCCAACUAAGUCAGACGUGAAAUCCCUCGGCUUAACCGGGGAACUGCGUCUGAUACUGGAUGGCUUGAGGUUGGGAGAGGGAUGCGGAAUUCCAGGUGUAGCGGUGAAAUGCGCAGAUAUCAGGAGGAACACCGGUGGCGAAGGCGGUUCUCUGGGCAUUACCUGACGCUGAGGAGCGAAAGUGUGGGGAGCGAACAGG
rnacentral:rRNA from 1 species